rnacentral:rRNA from 1 species
UGGGCCGCUGAUCGGUUCCUGGAAAUAGCCCUCCAUGAGAUCGUACCCUAAACCGACACAGGUGGACUGGUAGAGAAUACCAAGGCGCUUGAGAGAACGAUGUUGAAGGAACUCGGCAAAAUACCUCCGUAAGUUCGCGAGAAGGAGGCCCGGUACAAGAGUGCCGGGGGCACAAACCAGGGGGUGGCGACUGUUUAUUAAAAACACAGGGCUCUGCGAAGUCGCAAGACGACGU